rnacentral:siRNA from 1 species
UAGAGAAGUCCACGUCCCUUA